rnacentral:rRNA from 1 species
AUUGAACGCUGGCGGCAUGCUUUACACAUGCAAGUCGGACGGCAGCACAGAGAAGCUUGCUUCUUGGGUGGCGAGUGGCGAACGGGUGAGUAAUAUAUCGGAACGUACCGAGUAAUGGGGGAUAACUAAUCGAAAGAUUAGCUAAUACCGCAUAUUCUCUGAGGAGGAAAGCAGGGGACCUUCGGGCCUUGCGUUAUUCGAGCGGCCGAUAUCUGAUUAGCUAGUUGGUGGGGUAAAGGCCUACCAAGGCGACGAUCAGUAGCGGGUCUGAGAGGAUGAUCCGCAACACUGGGACUGAGACACGGCCCAGACUCCUACGGGAGGCAGCAGUGGGGAAUUUUGGACAAUGGGCGCAAGCCUGAUCCAGCCAUGCCGCGUGUCUGAAGAAGGCCUUCGGGUUGUAAAGGACUUUUGUCAGGGAAGAAAAGGCUGUUGCUAAUAUCGACAGCUGAUGACGGUACCUGAAGAAUAAGCACCGGCUAACUACGUG